UGAGGACCAUAACAUUGAUUUAGGUGUUUUAUUAUUUUGAAUUAACUGAAGCCAACAAGUGGAUAGAAUUGGUCUCAUAAUGAUACUACAACAAUAAACUUGGGGAGUGUGUAUGAGACACUGCCUUACAAAAGAGACCAGCCACCUGACACAACAUUUCUCAAAGACAGAGAACAGCUAAUUAUGUUGAAUUCCAUUUGCUACAUAAUCUAGACCAUGACCUAGUGCUUCUAAAAAAACCUGUACAAAAUGAGCAUUUUUUACAUCUCAGAGGCACAUGAAUACAAAUCUGAUCUAUUUCAUAUAUACACAUGUACAUUACGGAAACCAGAGAUGAAGAUCAAAUUAAAAAGGUGUAUAUAAAAAGUGCCCAAAACAGGAGAUAAAAUGUGAAAAUGCAUCUUCACAACAGAGAAGUAAAAGGCACAAGUACUAAAAUAUGUAACCAUGCAAAAAAUGUAAGUACAGUCUGUGCACCAGAGCAAACCAAAUGGCUCCCACAACUGAUUUUACAGUAUUUCUCUAAAUAUCUCAGUAUUUAAACAUACCAUCAGUGCAACAUUUGCUGCCCUGUAGUAUACUACAGUGUUCACAUGAUAUGAAAUCCUUCUGACUUCCUUUCUCCAAAGCCAGAAUAAUUUAGCUGUGGAUAAAGUAUUAAAUAAAAUAGGGCUCCAACUGUCUGGGUGGAAGAGUAACCACAGCCCUCCUGCACCCCUCAUUGUCUAUGUAUUGAAUGUGUGUCUGCCAGAACUAUCACCUCUGCACCCUUUGCCAGGGUGAGUGUGGCUCUGCUGAGUGAUCUGAGAGCUGACAGCUCAGAUGUCACAGCUGCACCACUAAAAACACAGAUUCUUGGGGUAGAUUCCAAACUAUACCAUAGGAAUCUAUGUUAAUAUGUUUUCAUCAGGUUUAAAGUUUAAGUAAAAAUUAUAUGUUUGAAUAGGUACUACUCUCGCAGCUGAACAAAACUUUGAGACUGAAGCACAGAAAAAAGGUUUCAGGAACACAAUGUAGCCCUGUCAGCUGGCUCCACACUGUGGCAAGCGAUGGUACAGUGACCUGAGUUGCAGAUAUUUCUGCAACAAUAUUUUGAAUUGAAAAAUACUGAGAAAACCACCCCAAGGAUGCUGCAAAGGAACAAGAUGCCAGCAGCUGUUGAACUACAUCCUUUAAAAUCAGCUGUGUUACAUCACUUGUCGUACCUUCCUGACCAUGUUUCUUGAGUUAUGAAUGAAAUAACUAGAAUAUGAGCACUGCUACCUACACCAGAACCAACCCAGGAACUGCUCAGUCAAAGUUUGAGUCAAGUUUUCACUCUUGAAUCAAUAUAAGCCAAGCCACUGAUUUGGCAAGUGUUUGAUCAGCUGCUACUUCCUUCUUUCCUUGGAAAACAUCCCUCAGACCACACUGUGCAGUAUUUGUUUGAAGAGAAAACCACUUUAUAUUCACUGCCAUUAAAGGAGGGAAAAAAGUAUUCAUUUAUUUGUAAAUUCUAGUUCUCAGAUUCAUCACUAGCGCUAGGAUGCAGAGACUGCUGAGCGGUGACCGAUGGAGCAGGCCACAGUGUGUGUUUCUGUAUUAGCUUCCAAGCCCUCAAUUACUAACCAGACCAGGGAGCCUACACACAGCCUCUCCCAGAUCCUCUCUGGAGACUAAUGCAGUUCUGCUGAAGCAAACUGGGCAUUGCUGCAUUCAGACAGCAAAGUAUUGGAUACACACAUCUCUGAGAAUUAAUAACGCUGUGUUCAACUCCCCCCAGAGCUGGCUGAGAAACAUCUGAAAUUCUCCCAAGACCAUAAAAGGAAAGUUGGCAGCAAAAGUGUACGGGAUUUUUUUUCCUUUUUGAGACUUGCUACAAAUUUGCAUAUUAAAAACUCCUUAAAAAUAGAUGGGAUGGUUACAGUUUGUCAUCACUGCGCUUCAAAACACGACAAAUUCUCCAACAGCUUGAGUCUUUAAUAGAAGUUACUCAGAAAGCUGAAAAAUAGUCUUUUAUGUGAAGGUAAUUUUGAAUCAACAUCACACUCCAAAACCAGAACUAGGCAGCAGCUGAAGAAUGAUGUCUGGAGGGAAGCAGCCUGUAUCAGAAAAAUCUUGAGAGACCAUGUUUCAGCUACUCUUAGGUAUAAGUUUUGAAACACGAUUUUUUCUGCAGUAGCUUGUGUGUGGGAUCAGCCUAACAAAGGACAGCUUCUGGUGAGAAGCACUCAUGUUCUUUCACUGUACAAAACCACCUGAAAUGGUUUGCAACUGGUUUGACCAGAAUAUCACUUAGCUUUUCUGACUCUACAGCAGAAUGAACUAAGGAGCGGAUCAAGAUACAGUACCUUGGAUUGUGUUUGCAUCCCCAAGGAUUAAGUGAGAAGCACAGAUCAAACACAAGAACGUUUACUGCACUUGAGCAUUGCUAGAAUGAGAUGAUACCACAUUUCUGUAUCUGGUUAUUUACCUAGAGAGGUGAAGCCAUUGUUCCACCCCCAGUGACACUGACACAGAGGCAGGCUGUACUUCCCCACCUGGGCUGUGAGCACAAAGGAAGCCCACAGUAAGAAAUUUAUCAGAGGAUAGAUACUGAAACCAGUGCCUCGCUAUCUCCCACAUCUCCUGUCUGCUCUGCCAAUGUGGUUCUCUGAGACUUAACCAAAAUACGCACUCUGCAACAUCAGAUCUGAUUACUCCCUGCUCCCAUGACCCAUCAAGCGAUCCCUUAUUACCAAGUUACCUGCAUGUCAUAAAGCAUGACAACUUCUUUUCUGGUAUACAAGGGUUCUCCAAGUCUUGGGCUGCAAGACAAGUUGGUCUAGUAUCUGUAGUUACUGUAGCUACUCACUCUAAGAAUGCAAUUGCUAACUGGCAAUUUUAGAGGUGGACAUCUUAGAGGAAAAUCUAUCUGCCAGUGAAACACCUCUCCCACCUCCAACUCACGUUAGUUGUCAAACAUAGCAAGUAUCUGGAUAUGUAUUUGAGUGUAACAGAAAGCAGUAGCACACUGAGGGCCCCACAGGAGCAGAAGUAUAACUCUUUUAUGCAAUAAAACAAAGCUACAAACACCACCAACAUGGUGGUAAGACAACUCUUCAAAUGCAAACACUGGAGCAAGUAAGAGCUUCUAAAUGCUAAAGCAGUUGGGUACAGAGCUGAACAAGAAGUCCUGUGAGCCUUUAAAAAAUCCACUGCCAAGUACCCUUGGCUAGAAUACCACUUUCAGGAUUUCAGCCAGAUUUAAUGACUACUGACACUAUUAGUGACUAUUCACCUCUUACACUUAAUUACCUGCAAAAACCUUGGCUAUCACUACAGUCAUGUCUUCUGUUCAUGUCCGUGGGUCUGCGUCUCAGUGAAGCAAGCCAGGCUCUCUGCUUCCCAAGUGCUCAGCAUCAUUUUCAGGGAAAUAGUCCUCAACAUUUGCUGAUGUUCUACCCUAAUGGGAAUGGGGUUUAGAUUAUUAAAAUUUUGAAGCUAAGUCCAGUUUACUCUAAAAAUAUUUAGGGGGAAGCAUUCAGUCACCAGUCUGACCUGCAACAUUCUCACUCAUACUUAAAUCCACUGCAUGAGAGCAGGACAGAAGUGUAACUUACCAAACAGAGUCAGCUCCAGCAGCAGGGAUGCUGGCUCACCCAGCCCUGCUUGUCACAGCAGGCUGGCAGCAGCCACCUGACAGCUUGAACAGUUCUCUGUGGACUAUAAAAAGAGCAAAGUCCUUGGCACAACUCACAGACAGCACCACUUAGAGAGAAAUGCCAUCACAAAAGUGCAGGUGAAGAGUCCUGGCUUAACUGUUCCUCUCCUGCCUUCUGCUUCAUCCAGAAGCAGCAGCAGGUGGGGAAGGCGCACGCGUGUGUUGUCCAUGACAGAACCUUCUGCAAUGUAGCACAUUGUAGAUCAUUUUACACCAUCUCCCGGCAGCAAAGGAGCGGUCUUUAAAUCCCUUCCUCACACUAGAGCCUCAGGAAACCAGCCCUGAGACAUCACUGUUUAAACAAGACUGCACCAUUUCUUCCAGAGCACUGAAGUCUUACACACUUCGUGUGCUGGGGUGUUGUCCCAUA
rnacentral:lncRNA from 1 species